UCACAUCCGGUCCGGCUACCAAACCUGUCCGUAACGCGCGCGUGGUUAUGCGAACCAAUGUUUAUCCGUAUGCUACCAGCUCAUUUUAUUAGAUGUUCGUCUCUGUUGCUUAAAAAGAAACCAGUAAACGUAAUACGCGGUUUAAACGCAAACGCUAUUUGUUGCAGUUUGUUCACUGUGAAUGUUACUCGUAUAAACUCGAAAUACAUGUCAAGUGGACCGAAAAAGCUUCGCACAGACAAUAUGACAGCUAAAAAGAUCGGAACUCAUAACGGAAGCUUUCACUGUGAUGAAGUUCUGGCCUGUUUUCUUCUCCGCCAGUUACCUGAGUAUAAGGACGCUGAGAUCAUUCGAACAAGGGACCCGUCAGUGCUGGCACAGUGUGACGUUGUUGUCGAUGUGGGUGGAGAGUUUGACCCAAAGAGGCACCGCUAUGACCAUCAUCAAAGGACUUUUACGGAGUGCUUCCACAGCUUGUGUCCAGAAAAGCCGUGGGUGACCAGGCUCAGCUCCGCCGGCCUGGUCUACCUGCACUUUGGCCGUCAGCUGCUGGCCCACCUGACGCAGCUGAAGGAGGACGACAGGCACCUGGAGGUGCUGUAUGACAAGCUAUAUGAAAAAUUUGUGGAAGAGGUGGAUGCAAUAGACAACGGUAUAUCACAGUGCGAAGGGGAGCCCCGCUACUCCAUCUCCAGCAACCUGAGUGCACGCGUCGGCUACCUUAAUCCCUGCUGGAACAGCCAGAGCCAGGAUUCUGAGGAGGGUUUCAAGAAGGCUCUGGAGAUGGUUGGUGUCGAGUUCCUGGAUCGCCUGAACUUUUAUCAGUCAGCCUGGCUGCCAGCUCGAGCAGUAGUGGAGGAAGCGGUUAAGCAAAGGCAUCAGGUAGAUCCCAGUGGGGAGGUAGUGGUGUUUUCCCAGGGCGGGUGUCCCUGGAAGGAGCACCUGUUUGACUUGGAGAAGGACCUCCAGGUGGAGACACCCAUCAAAUUUGUCAUUUACCCAGACCAAAAUGGACAUUGGAGGGUCCAGUGUGUUCCUGCCGGACCCAACACCUUCGAGAACAGGCUGUCCCUGCCAGAGGAGUGGCGCGGCGUACGGGACGAAGCGCUGUCGGACCUCAGCGGGAUUAAGGGCUGCAUCUUCGUCCACGCUUCGGGCUUCAUUGGCGGGAACAAGACCCAGGAAGGAGUCCUGGAGAUGGCCAGGAGGACCCUGCAGGCCGCUGCCCAGUCCCCUGCGAAUGGAAGCAGCUGAUGGGUCAGAUGGUGCGGCCCACGGCACAUUUUGUUCUCGCGGCCGGGCUUUAGCUGAAGCAAGAUGUCGCCGUGUAGCCGAGCGGCUCCCCCCCGUCUUCAAAGCCUGCGAAUACCACGGCCUUACCUUUCAAGGGCUGGUUCAUACAGACACCAGAACAGCGGCUCGUCCUUUCAUUUCCAGCCCGCUGACAUUAGCUGUUGCACUACAAAGCGGCGCAGAGGCUACUUGCACCGGUCCCAGGAUCAAAGCGUCAAUAAUAAGGUCUGAUUAAUUCUGAGAAAUUAAAUUUCCACGGGCCACAGCGGAGGACUCGUUAGGGCAGCCAGAGUCGUGGGGAGGUUACUGGCAGUGGGAAGAGCCACGCAGUCAAUUUCCCUGUAAUAAAGUGAAGGGAUGGGCCUUGAAUCUUCUCAUUAAUUCUCCAGGUUUUCCUUCCCAAAGCCUUCUACCUGUUACUAUUCCCUUAUUGUCAUCUCUACAAGGCUGCUCGUCUGCCUCUGCCUAUCUGACAUUGUUUAACUGCUGUGCAUUUUAUGUCCAGCUGGUCUCAUCAUGCACGUGCUGCAUCAGUCAAGUAACAAUCUGUGUUACAGCGCUUUGUCACGCUUGCUUUUUUUACUUCCUCGUUCGUCUCUUAAUUGAAAAAGGCCCUGAAAGGUUCCUGCCUGGACAUUAAAACAUGAGAUGCCUGUAAGCCCAGGUAUUUUACACCGAUAAUAGCUGGAUGGAGCGAUAAUAAACCUCUCCGUGUGUCAUCUUAUCUACGUUUUAGUUAUUUCCCCUGCGGCUGAAUGUGUAGCUGUAAUAGCUUUGGAAAGGUAUUCACCUGAUUCUGUCUGCUUUUCCGCACCAUCUUUGUGUCAUACAGUACAUGCAUACACAUUUUAGUCUUAUUACUCUGCUCUCUCUUGCGCUGGAUCUGAGCCAAGGUCUCAAUCUAAUCUACACACAUUUGUGAAAACCUUUUGCAGUCACACGUUGUAGUACAGUUUCAGCAGCCAGAGCAUUGUUGUUUUGGAAGACACAGAAUGUGUGUUUUUCCCCGCGAAGGUGUUUCCACCACACUGGUGUAACUGCGCACCCUUUUAUCCUAAAAUCUAGGUAAACAGAUGAAAAAGGAGAGACUUGUCGUUCCCAGCCACCACUUUACCAUUGCACGCACAAUUUCGGGCUCAUUCAUCAUCAAGUGCACUUGCCUGAUUGCUGUGCACAGCAAAUCACAGGAUGCUCCGGCUUCGUUUGGGAAGUCGAAUCGUGCUCGCUUUUGUGGCAUUUUUGUUGACUUUUCCUCCGGCGCGACCAAAGAGACGUAGCUGGCACCAAGUCCUUUCCUGCCGCCCGAAUCACUUACAAAGCAACAUUUUAUUAAUACUUUGUUUUGUCAGCACAAAUGAUUUUCCAUCUGCGCCGCGGUUGCUAACGACACACAGCCUUUACAUUGGUUUUCGAUCGUAAGCAGUUUCAGACCACUCCGGCUCCGGCAAAUCCCAGUUGGUCGCACUGUGGAAAAAUGGCUACUGAGAGUCUCAGCAGAACACCUGCCCCCAGCCUGACCCGUUUUUAGUGGAUUCAUUCCCCAGAGAAUGACAGGGUAGUUACAAGAAAUGCCCCGCUGCUUUUUUUUUUUUUUUUU